GGAGUUAUGCUGCCCAAUUCUGAACUGAGCAAAUCUAAGAAAUAUUCCCCAUCUCAGCAGUAUUAAUUAGCAAGGACACACUUCUUCAUUAGCCACAGCCUUGUUAAGAGCUCAUUGUCUGACUGGCUCCCCCGUAUUGUAAUUGGGACUGGUAGGUAAACAGACAAAACACAGUUCUUAUUUUGGGAGAGAAGCAAUCAUGUAACAUGGGAAACAGCUUUUUCUAAUGGAUGCAGCAGCUAGGUUCAGAAGGGCACUUGAACACCUGAGAAAAUGAGAAGCAAAAUUUAAAAGUGUGCGCUUGUGGACUGAAAGAGUGGGGAGCAGGCUGAGAGCCAAGAUGCCUGAGGGAUGUGGCUGCCUCGGGCCCUCUGGAAACAAAAUGGCUGCUGCAUGGCUGCUACAUAAAAUGGCACAUGUGUGACAGGCUCCCAAUGGAGCAAGCUGUGCGAUGCCAUAAGUGCUGGCUCACCUUCCAUACAGAUGGAGUUCUAGUCGGCCUUCAUGUUCUAUCCUUUAAUGUGUGAUGGGAUUCCUGCUCUAACUAUUUGUUUUGCCUUUUCCUUAAGAAAGGCCCAGGCUCACAUAGAACUAGUUUCAUCCAAAUGGCGAACACAGAGGUGGGCCUGGAGCUGGGAGCUUGCUUGGUCACGGACCUCCUGCCUAAGGGAUGUGGCUGACUCAGGUUUGGCCAAGUUGCUCUUUGUUGGCCUCAGUAUAUAAAAUAGAAAUGGAAAUGCCUUACCUCCCACACAGUUGUUGGGAAGCUGAAGAUAAAGCCAUAAAAACAUUUUAUAUUAUGAACAAGCAGUAUGUAAACCAGGCUUCCUCAACCUCAGCCUUCCAGAUGUUUUGAGACUACAAUUCCCAGCAUCCCUGACUACUGGUCCUGCUAGUUAGGGAUCAUGGGAGUUGUAGGCCAAAAACAUCUGGAGGGCCGAGGUUGAGGAAGCCUGAUGUAAACCAUUAAUAAAUGCAUCUGUAUGAGUAUGUGCCUGUCUCAGGAGGCAUUAACACUUUUAGCCUUAUUUAGUCAGUCCUAUUUACUCUCAUAGUUCCAAAUUGAGUUCUGGCUCUUAUAUUCCUCUGUAUUUUCCACCUCAGUUUAGGCUUAUGCGCUCUUACUUUUUGCCCUGCUCUUUCCACACAGAGGUCUGCACUUUAGUGGUCUGUGUCUGAGUGUUGUUGUGGUUGGUUUUUUUGCCCCAAGUUUCCCCCGCAAAAUCCUGCUCUUUAAAGCUCAAUCGGAGCAACUGCCAAUUCUGGUUUUCCACGGGUUGACUUUGCUCCAAUUGAGCUUUAAAGAGUGGGAUUUUGCGGGGAAAGCCCAGGAGCAAAAAAAAUGAAGGAAAAAAACUGGGGGGUGUUUGGAUAGAGAGCUUUAAAUUGUGGACUGUGCCUGGAAAGAGUGGAGGAGAGGUAAGUGUGGAUAAGCCCUUUGUCUCAUUAGACCCUCACUCAUUACACAUACAAAAAUGUGAAAGGUAAGUAUGUGCAUCCAGGAUUUGGGCGGGGGAAAACAACAGCGCAUUGUGCAAGCCUAGAAGGCCAUAUUGGAGAUCCAGGGGUCACUAAUCUAAGCAAGCCUCGCACACCCUUUUGUCUGACUAUCAAGGGGCGAGUGGACAGAAGCUGCUGUCCCUGGCUGAAGAGAACCUGCUGUGGAUUUCCUUUUCUUCCCUCUCUUCCGCUUUGCACCUGCAUGCUCCGUGUCCAUCCAGUAAGGGGAGCUCUUGAUUUCUCUUCCUCUCAAUUUCCAUUCUAGCCCCCUUUUAGCUUUAACUCAAAGAAGCUUGUUGAGAAUUGGGACAAGCUGUAGUUGGCACAGCCAGUUUUCAGCCAGAAUGUGGACACCUCAGAAUUCCAGCUGUUUUUACUUUGUUUUACAAUUUUGUUACUGGUAUUUUCUUUUAUAUUUAAGCAUAAGUUUCUAGCCCUUAUGACUGUUGAGAGAUGUGUUUCAGAUGUACAGUGCCUUUCUAAAAACUCGCUCCUUCUGUUUAUGUGUAGUUCCUUCAUGGCUUCCAGUGAUACUGCUCUCUGCAUAUACCGAACCCAAACAGUACGUCAUUUGGCAGCACCUGGGAGAGUGUAUGGGGUGUGUGUAUGUGAUUUCCCCCCCCCCAAACUAUUUUAAUUGGUCAAAUUUUAUCUUGCCCUUUCUCCAAGGGUAGCUGAUUCAGAAUAAGACAUGCAAAACAAACUAAUUUGAAAAUGUUUGAAUGAUAAUCCAUAAUGUAAUUGAUUCUGAGUUAAAAAUAUUGAGUUUCCAUUGUGCAAGAUUUGGAGAAACAGGCCCCAGCAAUACCAGGAAAAAAUCCUGGGAACAAUUUGGAAAUCUAGGGAAUCCACCUCCCUUUUCUGCCCUGUAUUGAUUAAAUGUUAAAAUAAGACUACUUCAUGCCUUAUUACUUAAGAGUUGCCUUCUGUUCUCGUAGAGCAGGGAGAGUCAUCAGGCCUAAUCUGGCCUGCCAAACCUCUAGAUCCAUACCCACCUCCUCCCAUCAGGUCCAGCCUAUUCUCCCUAGGCUGCUCUUUACUUGCUAUUGAUCUGCAAUCCCUGUGCAGUUGUGCAGCACUUCCUGCCAUGUGAUCUCUCCCCACCCUCCAGAUUCUGCUCAGCUGAUUGCAGGUUUCACUACCGUUGAGCAGUAAUCUUUCACUUUGUAAUUUGGCUCCAUUCUCCACCCAUAUGUCACCCCGAUCACUUUGCCCAAGAGACUGUGUUCCUGGGGGGUGGGGACCCACCCCACCUUUAAAGCUAUAUAAAGAAGGCCUCCCACUGUUUUAUGUUCCUACCUCAUAUUACUUCCAUAGAACUGGUAUAUUCCAUCAGCUCCCAGCAUGUAAUACAGCACAUCCUGGCACAGCUGGGGUUCGCCCGAUAUCCCCAGUGGAGCAAGCCUCUCAGCUCUCACGGCACACCCAUAUGAUUUUCCUUGGCAUUGCUCUACCCCAGGGGUCAGCAAUCUUUUUUAGCUGUGGGCCGGUCCACCGUCCUUCAGACCAUGUGGCGAGCCAGACUAUAUUUUUUGGGGGAAAUGAACAAAUUCCUAUGCCCCACAAAUAACCCAAAGAUGCAUUUUAAAUAAAAGGACCCAUUCUACUUAUGUAAAAACACGCUGAUUCCCGGACUGUCUGCGGGCCAGAUUGAGAAGGUGAUUGGGCCGCAUCCAGCCCACGGGUCUUAGGUUGCCUGCCCCUGCCCUAUUUCCUCCCAGACUGUCAUCCAUUCCCCUUGUCCCAUAUCCUUGCCUGGGCAAUCCAAUGAAUUGAAAGGGGUGGUGGUGAGGAAAAUGUGAUGCUAACAACCAAAUACCAAGAUGAAGGUCUACCAGGCUUGCGUGUUGAGCGCGCUGCUUUAUGGAAGUGAGACACGGGCAACUUACACCCACCAGGAGUGACACUUCAAUGCCUCAGGAAGAUUUUGGGCAUCACAGGAGGCAGGACAGAGUCUCAAACAAAGAUGUGCUCUUCCAAGCCCACACAUUUCUGUCUCAGUGAUGGCCUGGUCAUGUACACAGAAUGGAAAAUGGCAGGAUCCAAAAGGAUAUGCUCUACAGGGAGCUGACUUCAGGUACCAGGACUGUUGGCAGACCAACUCUGUGUUACAAAGACGUUUGCAAAUGUGAUGAAGGCUGGCAACAUCAAUGCCGCCUUGUGGCAAUCCCUUGCAGAUGACUGCAGUGCCUGGAGACAGACAUUCAGGUCAUGUAUCCCCAGCAGUGACCAGAGGAGAAAUGACCACUGGGAGAAGCGCAGAGAGAAGAAACACCAUGGUGCAUCUGUAAGAGUGAAACUUGACACCUUCAGCUGUCUCACCGGCAAUAAAAUAUGUUUCUCCCAUAUUGUUCUCUACACCCACAGCAGGAGCUGUAACUCUCCAACAGUUUUGUCUCUCAGGACAAAUCAGUGCCAACAACAACAAAAUUCCUCCACCAGUUCUGCAUAACUGGAGUGGUGGUGUUGGUGUUGAAAGGCUGCCAGAAGAAAUCGCAAUGGCAUGAGCACCAAGACGAUGCACAGGAGCAACCCCUGAAACCAGAUGUUGUAAACCAGAUGUUGUCUUGCAUCUGCCUUGCAUGAUCUGCUCCCCCCCAUUCUAAUGUGUGCAUAGGUAGGCAGGUAGGUAGCUAGGUAGGUAGCUAGAUAGAUGGAUAGAUGGAUAGAUGGAUUGGAUCAAGGUCCAGCUAAUCUAGGACUCAUUGCAAGGUGGUCUUCUAGAAACUGACCUGUAGACCACCAGUAGACCAUGAUCAACCUUCUGACUCCCCCUGCAGGGUGCAAAACAACAACAACCCUGGGGCAAAAUCACAGCAAGGGAUUUUUAUAAGACUGGGUUUGUUAAGAGGCCCGAGAACCAAGUUGUCUGGCUUAGGCUCCCCCAAUUUGGGACUACAUCUGUUCUGUCUAGGUAAGGUUUGAGUAUGUAAAUGUCACUCUUAUUUGAAUUCUAUCUAAAAGUAAAAGGUAAGGUAAAGGACCUCUGGAUGGUUAAGUCCAGUCAAAGGCAGCUAUAGGGUUACGAUGUUCAUCUUGUUUUCAAGCCAAGGGAGCCGGCAUUUGUCCACAGACAGCUUUCUGGGUCAUGUGGCCAGCAGGACUAAACUGCUUCUGGUGCAACAGAACACCAUGGUGGAAUACAGAGCGCACGGAAACACCGUUUACCUUCCCACCACAGCGGUGCCUAUCUAUCUACUUGCACUGGUAUGCUUUCAAAGUGCUAGGUUGGCAGAAGCUAGGGCAGAGCAAUGGGAGCUCACCUCUUUGCGUGGAUUUGAACCAUCGACCUUCUGAUUGGCAAGCCCAAGAUGCUCAGUGGUUUAGACCACAGUGCCACCCGCGUCCCUGAAUUCUAGCUAUUGUUGCUAUUGCCAUACACAACUGUCAAGGGCACUUCUCAGACAAGGAAUACACAUGGCAGAUAGUUAAGUAUUUCUUGUCAAAGAUAGCUCAGUCACUUCUACAUCUCUGGAUAUCUACACACCCCAAUCUAAAGGCUAGGCAACUAUUCUCAGGUCUGCAUUCUAUGGAGUAGUUGCAGCAACAGGGGACCAUUCCCUCUCCACCAGCUUAUGCACCUUCCUCCGAGGGGCUGUGUGCAUGCAGCUGGAGACUGUGCCUGUAUGGAAACUUUCUCUGUGCAUCCCGUUUCAAUUCCCUCCUCGUUCUGGGAGAGUGGUGCAGGAAAGGGUGGAGAAGCACCUUCCCUUGCCUGACCUGCCUUUUUCUCCUCCUCUUCUGACCCAUCCUGUGCUCCACUUUCCAGCUCUGAACUUCCUCAUGCCUCUGAUUCUUGCAUCCUGCCUGGUACAGGUCCCCACAAAUCAUUGCCCCUCUCUCAGAAAUUGCAUCUCCUUAACUGGGAGAGGGGGGAAAGUAAUUCAGGGGUGGGGUGGGGAGUGUCUGAGUAGAUUUAACCUACUUCCUAACAUGCCCUAAAGAUAAGUGCUUAGUGAUCUCUACAGCAACACCCUUAUUUCAGCUUGCUGCUCAAUUGAGCACAACCAAAGCCAUUUUGCUUCCGGUGGCCCAAACGGUGCCUGCUUCCACCGACUCCUGCAUGCCAAAGGCACAUCUGAAAUUGAGAAACUAUUAUUAUUACUCUUAUUACUACUACAAGAUCUCCACACAGUACAUGUGGGGAAUCACUUCAGCUAAUGUAAUGCCAAUACUGUACAUACAGUGGAUCUCUUUUUGUUUUUUAAGACCUCAGCACCAUUUUUCGAUUUUUUAAAAAUGCCAUAAGACUCGGGGGGGGUGUGUUAUUAUUUAAAUGUGUACAGGUACAAAAAUACCUGCUUGCAUGCCUAGAAUGGGAAAAGGUAGAGGAAGACGAAGGUGCAGGACCAGAAAAUACAUCCUAAGAACAUUCCACCAAGCACUGCUCCCUGGUACAGAUGGGAUACAGCAGAAUGCUUAUGAAAAAGCAGAUCAGAACAAUCAAAUCGAGACGUUAAGCCCCCAUCUGGAAGUCCCCUAAGGGAGCCAUUGUUAAGUGUCAUGUGCAUUCUAGCCAAUGGUAAGUGUUACAGUCUCAGGAGGUGCAAGAAGUAGAUUCAGUGCUGUCUGAAAAUGCCUCAUUUACUGCCCCCCACUUACUACACUGGAAUCAUCAUGGCUUAACAAGCUUAUUGUGAGCCUGAAUGAAAUAUGGAGAAUGAACCGCAGGUGGAGGAAGGCUGGGCCUGCUCCAUGAAACUCUGAACGCACCCCGCAAGCAGCGAAUUUGGUAUCUCUUGCAGAAUUCAGCGUUGUGUGAAAUCUCUUUAAAAAGUAAAGCAAGUUUCUAGCACUCAGGGCUAAACAUUUCUAGCUCAUACGAGGUAAAAUCAUAGAAUUGUAGAGUUGGAAAGGUCCCCAAGACUCAUCUAGUCCAACCCCACAGCCAUCCCUAGGUGGGCUUGAACCCCCAGCUUUGUGGUUAACAGAUGCACUAACCCGUUGUGCCACUGGGGUAAAUCUCACACAUUGAGUUAGGGGUUUAAAGAGACUUCCUGCAGAAAAGAGGUGGGGAGUGCUGCAGAGCUGAUUGCCCCCUCUCAUGGAAAACAGAAAUGGAAUGUAUUAUUCAAAUGAGAGCAAAAAUGCUCUAAUUUGCAUAAUUUAUUCCAUUUGCAGAAUCUGUUUCCUUGGUGCUAAAUUUGUACCAAGUGUGCUUGUGGGCAGAGUGUACAGCAGUCCUGGGUACAGGAGGAACUAUAACUCUAACUAAUAAUUAUUUCUGAAGUGCUCUUAAUCGAUAUUAAAUUUAUUUUCUGAGUGUUGCAUACUGCCUGGAUUCCUGCAUCUUAUACCAGUAGCCGAGGUGCUAAUGUUAGGAACUAUGCAUGAUUGAAAAGCUGUCUCCAAGAGACCGGAGUGCUGGCUGGUCUCUUUCCAGCCAUCUCCAGAGCUAAUAUAUUGCCGAACAAACACACUGUAAUUCAGAUUGAAGCUUUCCAAUAUGACUCAUUUCCCUCCCUUUUAAUAACACUCCCCCUGCUGCGGCCUUUAAACCCUUGGCUGCGAGCAAUUCAAUAAGGAGGCACACGACCCCGUCUGCCACCCCGAGACAAGCGCUGCGCAUAUCGCAGGACGCAGCACAUCCAUCUGGAAUAGAAACGAACCAGCGGCUGGGAAGCUGGGGCUAGACUGGGGCAGAAUCCGACUUCUCCUGACAAAUGCCACUUGCUUUUUAAUAAGAAUGAAAUAUUCUCCCUUUGCCAUCCCCCCCUUUGCGGUUGAUUAUAUUUGAGAGCAUUGCAAGAAUCAGUAUAAACAGGGAGGCUGGAGGUCAGAACUGAGGGGCACCGUCAGAGCUAGGUUAUCAGGAGGUGUGGGAGGAGAUUGACAGACACAGAGGAUGUUAUGGCCAGUAAGCAGAGUGUCCAUGGAGGGCGGGGGGCCCUUUGCGUUUGCAUUCACUGGAAGUUCAUAUGUGAGCUUGUCUUAUUCAGAAGUGCGGCUGUGCAGAUGAGGGUUUAGAGCUCCUUUAUCUGUACCUGGAGCGAGAUGGUUGCUGAGCUUCUGUGGUUUCUCCCACAUCAUUCCAGGAACAUUAAUAAAUGUCUGUCCACAUGGUUGUUUUGUUUUUGCUUUGUAACAGAGAGACGAUGCCCACACUCUCUUGGGAAGUGUGUUUCUUCUCUGUUACACAAACACCAUAAAGCAAAACUUCAUGGUCAAAGAUGUCCAAAAGUUGUAGAGGGAGUAACUGCGGAGGCAGGAAUAUUCCAUGCUGCCCCAGGAGCCUCUAUAAAGUGGGCCUUAGACUUGUUUCCAAGAGAGCAGAGUUCAAGUCCUACCUCUGCCAUGGAUUCAUAAUAUCAGCCAUGCUAGUAUUUCUGAGGGUUUCCCAAAAACAAUGCUGAAAACUAUUUGAGCCUUCCAUAUUGCACAUGGACACUGGUUAAUGCAGGAGAGAAUUGGGAUGUUUGUGUAGUCAGAGUCAGCUGGAUUUAAAGAUUGUGGGAAGGUUGGUGCCUCUUUCGUGAACUGCUAACUUUAAUGCCAAGAAAUUCAGAAGUGGAGUGUUGGUUAGGGGCAGGACUUUGCAGUGUGCCUGUGCUUUACCUCUCCCCCGCAAACCCCCCACAGUUGAGGAAGAUAUCCCCCAAGCUAACAAUGGCCAAUAUUUUUUGCAAGUGUGCAACAGGCGCAAAGUGUUGCUCUGGUUAAUGUUUGCAUAAGUAUUUAAAUGUCGUUUGUGAAUUAUUUGGAAACAGUGCUAUAUUAUGUAAAUGUUUCUGACGUUGUAAGAUGUUGCGAAGGUUUCUGGUGGAAGAAUGGCAUGCAGGCUAACUGAUUAUGAAAGUAGACAUGCAAACCCCUCUCCUCUGAGCCAUUCGUGUCAGUCUGCUGAGCCAGAAAGAAGGCUGUAAUGCAGAACAGGAGAGGCAAGUGGGACUGUAGCUCUGUGGGCCCCCCAAGUGUGCCAGGCCUAUGGGACCCCUCUAUGGGUGAGAGUGGUGACACUCAAGCUACAGGCUGGCUGUCACACCCAUGUCCUAAUAUAUGUCUGCGUUUAACUGGAGGACCAAACUAGGAAGAGUCAACAGUAUCAUAUUGAACACUCCUCUCCAAAGUGUCCCUGAAUUCUGCUUUUGAACCCAGUUAUUUAUUUAUUUUACAUUCUUAGCCCACCCUCGCUUUAGGGAACUCAGGAUCAAGUACUGUACAUGAUUCCCCUAUUAUAUUCACACAAUAACCCUGUAAAGUAGGUUAAACUGGAAGAUGGUAACUGACCCCAAAUCAUUUAGAAACUUUUGUGGCAUGUAUAUAAACCCAGUUUUUCCUCUCUUAAGUCUAAUGUUAGCCAUCACACAAUACUGGCUCUCAGUUGUAAGGCUUUCUUUUUUUUAUAAGAUAUUUAUUAAGAUUUUUUAAAAUAUUACAAUAAAAAUGAAAAAAAAUAGCAAAAAUACAAAAUAAAAAUAGUUAAAAACACACAGAUUUUCCAUUACUUAUUUUCCUUUGACUUAUUUCCCGGACCUCCUCAUACCUCCCUUUUUGUAUUCCACUUCAAUCUGUUGGUUCAGCAAAUCCUUUAAAAGUAAUAACAUUAGAUUUUUACCUAUUUAUAACCUUUUUUCAUAUUCCCUUAAAGCAUUACAGCUGGAAACCACUUAAUUACUAUCCAACAUCAUUCUAACAUUCAUUAAUUUUACAAUAUUUCUGUAGAUAAUCUUUGAAUUUCUUCCAAUCUUCUUCCACCGACUCUUCUCCCUGGUCUCGGAUUCUGCCAGUCAUUUCUGCCAGUUCCAUAUAGUCCAUCAGCUUCAUCUGCCAUUCUUCCACAGUGGGUAAAUCUUGUGUCUUCCAAUACUUUGCAAUGAGUAUUCUUGCUGCUGUUGUGGCAUACAUAAAAAAAAGUUCUGUCCUUCUUUGGCACCAAUUGGCCGACUAUGCCUAGGAGAAAGGCCUCUGGUUUCUUCAAGAAGGUAUGUUUAAAUACCUUUUUCAGUUCAUUAUAUAUCAUUUCCCAGAAGGCCUUAAUCCUUGGGCACGUCCACCAAAGGUGAAAGAAUGUACCUUCAGUUUCUUUACAUUUCCAGCAUUUAUUGUCGGGCAAAUGAUAGAUUUUUGCAAGCUUGACUGGGGUCAUGUACCACCUGUAUAUCAUUUUCAUAAUAUUCUCUCUUAGGACAUUACAUGCCGUAAACUUCAUACCUGUGGUCCAUAACUGUUCCCAGUCAGCAAACAUAAUAUUAUGUCCAACAUCUUGUGCCCAUUUAAUCAUAGCAGAUUUCACCGUUUCAUCCUGAGUAUUCCAUUUCAACAGCAAGUUAUACAUUCUUGACAAAUUCUUAGUUUUGGGUUCUAACAGUUCUGUUUCUAAUUUUGAUUUUUCCACCUGGAAGCCAAUUUUCUUGUCCAAAUUAUAUGCCUCCAUUAUCUGAUAAUGAAGCCAGUCUCGCACUUUAUUUUUUAGUUUCUCAAAACUCUGCAGUUUCAGUCUAUCUCCAUCUUGUUCCAAAAUUUCCCAAUAUUUCGGCCAAUUGGCCUCCAUAUUGAGCCUUUUCAGAGCUUUCGCUUCCAUCGGUGACAGCCACCUUGGGGUUUUGUUUUCCAAUAAAUCCUUGUAUCUUAUCCAAACAUUAAACAGUGCUUUCCUGACAAUAUGGUUUUUAAAUGCUUUAUGCGCUUUGACCUUGUCAUACCACAGAUAUGCAUGCCAUCCAAAUACAUUGUUAAAACCUUCUAAGUCCAAAAUGUCUGUGUUUUCAAGAAGUAGCCAUUCUUUCAACCAGCAAAAAGCUGCUGAUUCAUAGUAAAGUUUAAAGUCUGGCAGGGCAAAUCCACCCCUUUCCUUCUCAGUUGUAAGGCUUUCUAUACUGGAUCCCUUGGACGGAAGACUAUUGCUGCAGUGUUUGUUGGUGAGGGAGUGUCCAGUGUUCAGGAUGACAGGAACCCACCUCAAAGGGGUGAAGCGCAGGCAACUGAUUUUACUUAAGCUGAAAGCAAAAUGUUCAUCAGCAGAAACCUGGGCUGUGUAUCCACCAUACAUUUAAAGCAUAUUCCCUGUCAAAAAGAAUCCCGGGAACUGUAGUUUACCCCUCACAGAACUACAGUUCCCAGCACCAUUAAAAACUAUAGUUCCUGGGAUUCCUUGGGUGAAAAAUGUGCUUUGAAUUAUGGUGUAUAUGUCAGCUUACUAGAGCUGUGGAACUAAAGAAUGAAAGGACACCGGCUGCUCUGUGGUGAAGCAAGAUGUGCAUUUGCCUUCCCCUGUUACACACAGCUUGGCUUACUUACAUGAGCCAUCCUAGGCUGUUUCCUCUCUAAGGACAUUGGUAGUUCCUGAGUGUGUGCUGCUGGUGUGGAUUGCAGAGAAUGAUAUCUGCGUUAGCUGCUCCAGCUUUGCGGCAAAGGGCUGAGAUGGAUGGUCUCUGAAGUCCUUCCAACUCCUGCAACGAUUGCGUUGCCAUGCGCCUAUCGCUCCCGUCACCAUAAUCUGCUACAAAUGAGCAUUCAAGGCAAAAUAUUAUCCCUCCUUAGCAAAUCCUCAUGUGUCGGCGACACAGGUUUUUAAAGGUCGCCAGCGUUGGCGCGAGACCCCGGGAACAAAUGGUUCGUGUCUCUUUUCUUUGUAGGUGAUCGAAAAGCCCUUUCCUCUCCCCACCCCAGCCGAAUCGCUUCCCCUGUUCAGCAUUCCUCCUCUGCUGCCAAGGCUAAAUGGCCCCGAGAAGAUGAAAACUUUUCUCCGCGCCCGACUGGAUUGAUGCUAAAGAAAUAAUCAACCCCCGGAUCGCCGGGCGAAAAGCCAUUCGGCAAAUGAGCACCGGGACUGCAAUCUCGGCUAUUAAGAGCCGCCAAGGCUCACUCUAGGAUUGGAAUUAAUUUCCCCCUUCUUCCUCCCAGGGCCUGUUGUG